UCGAGGAUCUUCGGCAAUGGGCGCAAGCCUGACCGAGCGACGCCGCGUGUGCGAUGAAGGCCUUCGGGUUGUAAAGCACUGUCGAGGGGAAGAAAGGCGCAAGCUUGAUCGACCCCUGGAGGAAGCACGGGCUAAGUUCGUGCCAGCAGCCGCGGUAAGACGAACCGUGCGAACGUUGUUCGGAUUCACUGGGCUUAAAGGGCGCGUAGGCGGGUUCUCAAGUCGGGGGUGAAAUCCCACAGCUUAACUGUGGAAGUGCCUCCGAUACUGGGAGUCUUGAGGGAGGUAGGGGUGCGUGGAACUUCCGGUGGAGCGGUGAAAUGCGUAGAUAUCGGAAGGAACGCCGGUGGCGAAAGCGACGCACUGGACCUCUUCUGACGCUGAGGCGCGAAAGCCAGGGGAGCAAACGGGAUUAGAUACCCCCGUAGUCC
rnacentral:rRNA from 1 species